AGAGUUUGAUCCUGGCUCAGGACGAACGCUGGCGGCAGGCUUAACACAUGCAAGUCGAACGGGAAGCAGGGCUUCGGUUCUGUGGAGAGUGGCGCACGGGUGAGUAACGCGUGGGUAUCUGCCUUGAAGUGGGGGACAACCGCUGGAAACGGCGGCUAAUACCGCAUACGCCCUUCGGGGGAAAGCUUUAUGCGCUUCGAGAUGAACCCGCGUUGGAUUAGCUUGUUGGUGAGGUAGCGGCUCACCAAGGCAUCGAUCCAUAGCUGGUCUGAGAGGAUGAUCAGCCACACUGGGACUGGGACACGGCCCAGACUCCUACGGGAGGCAGCAGUGGGGAAUAUUGGACAAUGGACGCAAGUCUGAUCCAGCCAUGCCGCGUGAAUGAAGAAGGCCUUAGGGUUGUAAAGUUCUUUCAGUCGUGACGAUGAUGACGGUAGCGACAGAAGAAGCCCCGGCUAACUCCGUGCCAGCAGCCGCGGUAAUACGGAGGGGGCAAGCGUUGUUCGGAAUUACUGGGCGUAAAGGGUGCGCAGGCGGCGUCGCCAGUCAGGUGUGAAAUCCCCGGGCUCAACCCGGGAACUGCACUUGAUACUGCGAUGCUAGAGUUCGGAAGAGGGUAGUGGAAUUCCCAGUGUAGAGGUGAAAUUCGUAGAUAUUGGGAAGAACACCAGUGGCGAAGGCGGCUACCUGGUCCGAUACUGACGCUGAGGCACGAAAGCGCGGGGAGCAAACAGGAUUAGAUACCCUGGUAGUCCACGCUGUAAACGAUGUGUGCUAGACGUCGGGGGUUUCGCCUUCGGUGUCGCAGCUAACGCAUUAAGCACACCGCCUGGGGAGUACGGUCGCAAGAUUAAAACUCAAAGGAAUUGACGGGGGCCCGCACAAGCGGUGGAGCAUGUGGUUUAAUUCGACGCAACGCGCAGAACCUUACCAGCCCUUGACAUGGAGGUCGCGGAUUCCAGAGAUGGAUUCUUUCAGUUCGGCUGGACCUCACACAGGUGCUGCAUGGCUGUCGUCAGCUCGUGUCGUGAGAUGUUGGGUUAAGUCCCGCAACGAGCG
rnacentral:rRNA from 1 species